UACAGAGGAUGCAAGCGUUAUCCGGAAUGAUUGGGCGUAAAGCGUCUGUAGGUGGCUUUUUAAGUCCGCCGUCAAAUCCCAGGGCUCAACUCUGGACAGGCGGUGGAAACUACCAAGCUGGAGUACGGUAGGGGCAGAGGGAAUUUCCGGUGGAGCGGUGAAAUGCGCAGAGAUCGGAAAGAACACCAACGGCGAAGGCGACUACCUGGACCAGCACUGACACUGAGGCACGAAAGCGUGGGGAGCAAACAGG
rnacentral:rRNA from 1 species